CACCGUCAGAAGAACGGGCGUCAAAAGAUACGAUAUCUCCUAACAUAAUAAAUGAAGAAUCAAGAAAUGGGAGAACUCACGACACAUUGUUGAAGGCAUCGGGAGAAAUGGGAGAACUCCCGACGCUUUGUUAAAGUCGUUGGAAUUUCCCCAAUUUCUCUAAUGCCUUCAUCACGCGUUGGAAAUUAUCCCAUUUCUCCAAUGCCUUCAUCACGCAUUUGUUCUUUAGAAACUCACCUCUCAUAUAUAAUUCACAAAUCUGCAAAGGGGAGAAGAAAGGGUUGAAAGCAAAAACGUGUCGUGGUCCUUCCUGUGUUGCUGUUCUCUUUCUGGUGUCAUCAUCCUCUGCCCUUUCUCUUUCGGUGUCACCGCCGUCGUCGCCUGCCCUGUCUCUAGUUUGAAGGCAACCAUCACAGAUUACAAAGGCAAUGCAAUAACAUUGAAACUUGUUAAAGUAGUUGUAGAAUAUGAGGAGGAAAACAAGAUACAAGUUCUUCUUCAAGACGACUCCUUUUCUCCGGAUUAGAGCUUCACACUUUCAACGAAUUACAAAGCAUAUAUGUCUGGUAUACAUUUGAUACAAUAUCAAAUAAAAAUGGAUUAAUAUGCUCAAUUGUGGUUAGUAAAAUAUUG